GUAAAAGCAACUGCUCUUGAAGGUGCUUUGAGGGGUGUUUGGGUGUCCUUCAAGAAGUACGUUGUCGCCACACACAUCCAUAUAUCAACCAAAGUGUUCCACGCUAAUAACAACACAGACCAACAUUUCCAAAACCAUCCGGCGUCAGGUCUCGAUUUCUUGGCGGCCGGAAAACUAGGCAAGGCGUCAGGUUCAGAUGUUUUGCGACAGCAAGAGAUGAGGAAUGACAUGAGAGAUGUUCCGUCGCCAAGGGAAUGAUGAACUCGAAUAACCAGUGUGGAUUCAGCAUCACAGGUUUUGAGGUUCAAAAUAUGGACAUCCCACAUGGGAAUGGAGGUG
rnacentral:lncRNA from 1 species